AUUGAACGCUGGCGGCAUGCCUUACACAUGCAAGUCGAACGGCAGCACGGGAGCAAUCCUGGUGGCGAGUGGCGAACGGGUGAGUAAUAUAUCGGAACGUGCCCGGUCGUGGGGAUAACGUAGCGAAAGCUACGCUAAUACCGCAUACGAUCUACGGAUGAAAGCGGGGGAUCGCAAGACCUCGCGCGAUUGGAGCGGCCGAUAUCAGAUUAGGUAGUUGGUGAGGUAAAGGCUCACCAAGCCGACGAUCUGUAGCUGGUCUGAGAGGACGACCAGCCAC
rnacentral:rRNA from 1 species